GGUAAUUCUGCAACCAAGCUGUAUAUAAUUUCCUAUCUUUCACUCAGAUAUUAAAGAGCUUCAUUUUUUUAUAAUUCUUCAGCCGUCCUUCCUGGAGGAACUGUUCAGAGUACGUCAUAAAGUGAUCGAUUUGUUGAAGAACAUCUCCGAUAUAACUCAGUAUUCAAGGAAAAACUUCCUGAGGAUCAAUAUAUUUUUUCAAAAGCUACAAGAACAAGAGAUGUUGCAACGUCACUCGUAUGGGAUAGUACGUUUGUUAUCAGACAUAGGUGGUCAGUUGGGUCUAUGGGUUGGAGUUUCAGUUUUAACACUGGUAGACGGCAGUGAAAGCUUUUCAAAGUUCAUAAAAGCUUUUUAUCGAAGGAUAAAGAUGAAAUUUGCUAAAAAUCGCGUUACUGAUUUUAUUGAAUCGAAAUGAGAAUAAACAGUUCAAACGACACGAAACGUAAAUAAAAUAGAAGAGGACGGUGUGUUUUUCUUUUACAAUGAAUAAAUUGUCCAACUUUUGAUUGACUUGGCAAUAUAACAAUACAAACUUUACCGGAUAGGACAAAGUCCGGAAAAAUAACUUUUGAAAUCAUUAAAAAAAAUAUACAACCGUUUUGAUUUUUAUUGUCACGACAGGAUGUAAAAGAACUGAAAUAGUAAAAUAAGGUAGAAAGAGUAAAAGCGGAAUUUCGGAUAGAUUUUCUCUAAAAAGACGACGUUUACAAACAUAAUUACCGCAAUCCUGCCUGUUGUGUUUGUCGGUAAAAUGAUAAUGAUCAUUGCAUAUUGCAAGGGAUAGUUUUAAUCGUUAUAAGCAAGUAGCCGAAAUGAGUAAAUAAUUUUUCAAUUUUUCA